AAAAAAAAAAACUCUACAGGUUACGUAUGUGUGUUUUAGUCUUCGUUGAUUCCCCCAUUUAUUAUAUUGCUCUUGUUAUUAUUUGUGGGUGCUUAUUCCUAAAAUUGUUAUAGGUGGUGGUGGUGUUUUCAAAUUUAGAAUUAAAUAGAGUGCGAUUUUUGAUGACAAAAAAAACUCCUCCUGACGACGACAACAUUGCCGAGCAUUUUUUGUUGCGACUGUUGAAUAAUUAAAAAAAAAUAAGAAACAAAAAAAAAA
rnacentral:ribozyme from 1 species